rnacentral:rRNA from 1 species
ACCAGACUCCUACGGGAGGCAGCAGUAGGGAAUAUUGCUCAAUGGGGGAAACCCUGAAGCAGCAACGCCGCGUGAAUGAUGAAGGUCUUCGGAUUGUAAAGUUCUUUUCUAGGGGAAGAAGAAAGUGACGGUACCUUAGGAAUAAGCCUCGGCUAACUACGUGCCAGCAGCCGCGGUAAUACGUAGGAGGCAAGCGUUAUCCGGAAUGACUGGGCGUAAAGGGUGCGUAGGUGGUUUGACAAGUUGGUAGCGUAACUCCGGGGCUCAACCUCGGCACUACUACCAAAACUGCCAAACUUGAGUGCAGGAGGGGCAAAUGGAAUUCCUAGUGUAGCGGUGGAAUGCGUAGAUAUUAGGAGGAACACCAGUGGCGAAGGCGAUUUGCUGGACUGUAACUGACACUGAGGCACGAAAGCGUGGGGAGCAAACAGGAUUAGAUACCCUGGUAACU